CUGAGUUUUGGGUUCUCUUCUGAGGCCCUCACUCCCACCCUUUGUGUACCUUACCUUUAUUUUCGUUGCUUUGGUAGGACUUUUUCCUUUUUGGAAGCCUACCAAAGGAACACUAUCAAACUCUUGUUAAUUGAGUCGUCUGAGAACAAUUAUAAUAAGUUA
rnacentral:misc_RNA from 1 species